rnacentral:rRNA from 1 species
UACGAAGGGGGCUAGCGUUGCUCGGAAUCACUGGGCGUAAAGGGUGCGUAGGCGGGUCUUUAAGUCAGGGGUGAGAUCCUGGAGCCUCAACUCCAGAACUGCCUUUGAUACUGAAGAUCUUGAGUUCGGGAGAGGUGAGUGGAACUGCGAGUGUAGAGGUGAAAUUCGUAGAUAUUCGCAAGAACACCAGUGGCGGAAGGCGGC